rnacentral:piRNA from 1 species
UUCCGAGUCAGGCAAAACUAGGAG